UGUAAGGUUAAAUAAGUGCCACAAAAUGACACAGGUGGUAAAUGCGGAGGCCAGAUUUUUAAAAAAAGAUUUUUAUCUUUUCCAUUAUAGCUGGUUUACGGUGUUCUGUCAAUUUUCUACUAUACAGCAAAGUGACCCCCAUAUUUUGAGUACAAAAAUGCCUACAUUCAAAAAUCCAUGUUCUUUCCACACUGUUAGAUUUCCUUUUCCACUGUUGAACAGGUUACUUGACUUAUAAUUGGGAAAGCUAUUAGAAGCAUGGCAUUCAAGAUUUUCUUCCCCACUAGAGCACAAGAUUUUGGCAUCAUGUGUGCCUUCUCCAAUUCACCAUGAAAUGAAUUCUUAGUAAAUAGAAUCCUCUUAAGGGUCAAUCUGCUAGUUGCUACGUUCUGUUGGCUUGGAGUAUGGUCCCUGGUGCAGGUUAUAGGUGGAAUCAUGCCCCCUCUAAAUUCAUGUAUUCAAGUCCUAACCUCCAACACCUUGGAAUGUGACUUUAUUUGAGAUAGGAUCUUUAUAGAGGUAACCAAGUUUAAACGAGGUCAUCAGGAUAGGCCCUAAUCCAAUAUGACCUAUAUGUCCCUAAUAGAAGAGGAAAUCUGGACAUAGAGAUAGACACAGAAGGAAGAUGAUGUGCAGACCACAGGGAGAAGGCAGCUACCUGAACAGAUACUUCUCUCACAUCUUUCAGAAGGAACCAACCCUGCCAACAUCUGGCCUCUGGGACUAGAAGACAGUACAUGUCUGCUGUUGAAGUCACCCAGCUUAUGGUACUUUGUUACAAUGGCCCUAACAAACCAACACACUGAGGUUCUCAGGGAAUUACAAUGGCCAAGAAAAUAUUUCGAGGACUGUUACUAGGACCAUGGGUUUAUUUCUGUGCUAUGACUACAUGUCCUAGGGCUCAAAAGUUCAAAACAGUAAGGAAUCCAGCAGAUGCUUGUAAAUGAACCUUCCCUUGGCUGAGUCAUCAGUUUGGGCUUUCUCAGUUCUCUGUGAAACCUGCUCUCUGCAGUGGUCUCUCAACACCUGAGCUGGUGGGCUUCCCUCCAGGGAGCCCAGUCAUUGAGCUUCUGCCCAGUGAGCUAUGCAUUCACACAAUUCAUCCGUGUUCCACCAACUUGAGGAUGCCUGUUAUACUUGCUAUUUUAAUGACCUCAUCUAAUGAAAUAAAGUGUAAACCGGUGAGCUGUGUGUGUGGCAAAAAGAAGAGUUGUUUCUAUGAAAACCAAGCUAAUGCUUGGGCAAGACGUUAUGAAAGUGAGUUUCUAUAAAGAUUCCUGUCUUAUGAAGUGUGUGUAAGACAACUGUAAAAGGCUGGGAGCAAAGAAACAAAAAUCCAGAAACAUUCCACUCCCAUAUCAUUUAACAAGGAUCUUUAAGUUCUCACUCUGCUUGACAGAAACCAAAACUGAAAAUCACAGACAAUGCCUUAUGGGUGAGGUUCAUAGAAGAAAGACAAUGCUGAACUAUGAUCAGCCAACCCCAAAUCUCAGAGAAGACUGUGGCACUACACAAAAAAGAAUGAAAAAUAAAUGUACAUGUGAUGUGUUUUAAAGUGAAAGAUGCAAACUAUUACAUUUAGAAUGGAUAAGCAAUGAGGUCCUGCUGUAGAGCACAGGGAGCUAUAGCCAAUCACUUGUGAGAGAACAUGACAGAAGAUAAUAUGAGAAAAGUAAUAUAUGACUGGGUCACUUUGCCUGUGCAGCAGAAAUUGGCAGAACACUGUAAAGCAACUAUAAUAAAAAAAUUAAAAAUUUAAAAAGAAAAAAGAGAGAAAGCAAACAAGAAAAAAAUUAAGUAAAAGAAGAUGUUUAUAGUAUAUCUAG
ensembl:lncRNA